rnacentral:tRNA from 1 species
GGAGUUGUAGCUCAGUGAUAGAGCAUUUGCCUCGUACGUGUGAGGCACCGGGUUCGAUUCCCAGCACCA